rnacentral:rRNA from 1 species
AACACAUGCAAGUCGAACGAGAUCCCAUUCAGUAGACAAUACUGAUGAAGAUCUAGUGGCGAACGGGUGCGUAACACGUGAGGAACUUGUCCCGGUCUCUGGGAUAACAGUUGGAAACGACUGCUAAUACCGGAUGACGUCGGAACUUCGCAUGGAGUACUGACGAAAGGGUUACUGGAUCGGGAGAGCCUCGCGGCCUAUCAGCUUGUUGGUGGGGUAAUGGCCUACCAAGGCAUCGACGGGUAGCUGGUCUGAGAGGAUGAUCAGCCACACUGGGACUGAGACACGGCCCAGACUCCUACGGGAGGCAGCAGUGGGGAAUCUUGCACAAUGGGCGAAAGCCUGAUGCAGCAACGCCGCGUGCGGGAAGAAGGCCCUCGGGUUGUAAACCGCUUUCAGGAAGAACGAAACUGACGGUACUUUCAGAAGAAG